CUCGACCAAUGCAUCUCUUCCAUGUACCUAAUCAUUUUCCUGCUGCAGCAGACGCUUUGGUAAAUCCUGUUCUCCACCACCGCUCCCGUCUCCAAGAAACAAUUCACGUUUACCACUGGCUUCUUCCCCAAGAUACCACUGUAUGUACCGUCUCAAUUCUCUCUCCUUUGUUCCUCGUUCUCUCUCAAAAAUCACCGUCCCGAAAUAAUCUUCUCCCUCUGGUACGAAUACAACCAGUUUUUUGGCACACGCUUACGUUCUUCAUUUAUCGAUUAUCACCACAAUGUUAUGGAGAAAUGGUAUGAGGCAAAAUGAGGGUAUCCUGCAUCUACAAAUUUAUGACAUCACAAGUGUAAACCAGUUAUUCAAUAGAAAAUAGGUGGGAUUGUUAAUCACGAGUUUCAAGUACUAGCUUUCCUUUCUCGCUAAUGCUGUUUACAAACUCUUCCCUAUCUUUGUAUGCAUCCGACGCCAAUUCAAAAAAAGAAUACAAGAUAAGGAUCUGCAAAUUCACCAAAAAUGACCUCAAUCUCCUCUUACUCUUUCCACAUAAUAAACUUCACUUCCUAUUGCAUUCCUUCAAAAUGAAGUAAUUGGAAGGGCAAAAUGAGGGAGGAGGGUAGGAAAGGCAUAUAGUUGAUUUAAUUAAAAAGGCUUGUGAGUUUGCUGAGAAUAUCUCCAAUUGGUUGUAUCAUUUUUAAUGGUUUUGGUGCAGUUUGGAACACAACUAUGUUGAAUAGGGCCCAAAACUCAUUCUUCAAAAAGUUGAUUAACGACCCAUGAUUUAAUUGGUCAAGAAUGGAAACAUCACAGCUCCAUGGAAGCUAAUUAGAUGACACGCUUUUGGUUAGCGUUCACUUUUUUCUUUUAAAAUCUGAUAAUCUCGACUACAAAACAAUGAUUUAAUUGUUUUUAUGUUACAAAAAAGUACCGAAUAGAUUCAUUAUCUUACAGUCUUGAUACAUUGAUUAGGUUCUUCUAUUGUCUAUCAAAAUAAAUUUUAGCCUAAUCUAUUAAGACUUGCUAUGUCAAAGUAACUAAGACGUAAAUAGUAAAUUAAUGUUAUUUUUUUUAUCAAUCCCAAGCUAUGAAUGUGGAGAACACAUUAUGUUGAAAAUGAAGGAGGAAUUUAAUUACCAAAGUUUGUAAAAAAAAAUGAGACACACAUUGACAAGUUAUGAAAGUAGAGAUUCUCCUGAUAUAUUUUCUCAUGUUGAUUGAGAUUUUGUUUAUCAAAGAAAAGACAUGAAAACGAAAAUCAAAAAGAAUAUAUUUUUUUAUUUGGUUUUGAGAUGAUCAGGAUAAGGAUAAGGAAGGUAGAAUAUUUGAAUCUUUUAGCAUAUUAUAUACUUCCUUAUCCUGAUCAUCUCAAAAAGCCAAAAUAUGUUUUUUGAACUUCAUUGUGUUUUCAACAACAAAUAGAUUGAUUACAUUUCAACUGAACAAUGAUUUCCCAAUGUAAAAUUUUUUAUUACUUUUUCAACUGCUGUUGCCGCUUGCCAGGAAGAUCAAGGCGUAAUUGUCUAACAAUUUAGGAUUGGUAAAAA